GUAGGUGGCAAGCGUUGUCCGGAAUUAUUGGGGCGUAAAGCGCGCGCAGGUGGUUCUUUAAGUCUGAUGUGAAAGCCCCCCGGGCUCAACCGGGGGAGGGUCAUUGGAGACUGGGGAACUUGAGUGCAGGAGAGGAAAGUGGAAUUCCACGUGUAGCGGUGAAAUGCGUAGACAUGUGGAGGAACACCAGUGGCGAAGGCGACUUUCUGGCCUGUAACUGACACUGAGGCGCGAAAGCGUGGGGAGCAAACAGGAUUAGAUACCCUGGUAGUCCACGCCGUAAACGAUGAGUGCUAAGUGUUGGGGGGUUUCCGCCCCUCAGUGCUGCAGCUAACGCAUUAAGCACUCCGCCUGGGGAGUACGGUCGCAAAGACUG
rnacentral:rRNA from 1 species